GUGGGGAAUAUUGGACAAUGGGCGCAAGCCUGAUCCAGCCAUGCCGCGUGAGUGAUGAAGGCCUUAGGGUUGUAAAGCUCUUUUGUCCGGGAAGAUAAUGACUGUACCGGAAGAAUAAGCCCCGGCUAACUUCGUGCCAGCAGCCGCGGUAAUACGAAGGGGUCUAGCGUUGUUCGGAAUCACUGGGCGUAAAGCGCACGUAGGCGGACCAUUAAGUCAGGGGUGAAAGCCUGGAGCUCAACUCCAGAACUGCCUUUGAUACUGAUGGUCUCGAGUAUGGAAGAGGUUGGUGGAACUGCGAGUGUAGAGGUGAAAUUCGUAGAUAUUCGCAAGAACACCGGUGGCGAAGGCGGCCAACUGGUCCAUUACUGACGCUGAGGUGCGAGAGCGUGGGGAGCAAACAGGAUUAGAUACCCUAGUAGUCC
rnacentral:rRNA from 1 species